rnacentral:tRNA from 1 species
AGUCUUAACCUACUGUACAUAUGAUUUCGGCUCAUAGAACAAACAAAUAAAAUUGUUUUAAGAUUU